UCUCUUGAAAAUAACAACUUGAUUUUAAUCAAAGCGACAUAACCAGAAGUUGUCUUUGGCCUUUUUGGUCUUCAGUUGUGUGCCAACUUGUCAACUUGUAAUUGCAAAAACAGAAUGACAAUGACAGCGCCCAUAAACAUUUUU